GGGUGUGGCUGUCACUCGGCUGCAUGCUUAGUGCACUCACGCCC
rnacentral:misc_RNA from 1 species